UACGUAGGGUGCGAGCGUUGUCCGGAUUUAUUGGGCGUAAAGGGCUCGUAGGCGGCGUGUCGCGUCGGGAGUGAAAGCCCGCUGCUUAACGGCGGGUUGGCUUCCGGUACGGGCAUCGCUGGAGUGCGGCAGGGGAGACUGGAAUCCUGGUGUAGCGGUGGAAUGCGCAGAUAUCAGGAGGAACACCGGUGGCGAAGGCGGGUCUCUGGGCCGUUACUGACGCUGGAGGAGCGAAAGCGUGGGGAGCGAACAGG
rnacentral:rRNA from 1 species